rnacentral:misc_RNA from 1 species
CAGAGUUCAUGCCCUUACGGGUAGAUCUCCCACCCUAUGUUAUUAUUACAUCGUUGCUUUGGCGGGCCGCCCGGCCUCGGUCAGGCUACCGGCUCCGGCUGGUACGCGCCCGCCAGAGGAAACCCAACUCUGAGUUUAGUGUCGUCUGAGUACUAUACAAUAGUUA